CGCCCACCUUGCCUGUGGCCAAGCACAGACUUCCGGUUUCACCCACUUCAUCUCUUUGCUAUUCUCUCAGUCUUCCAGGAGUGAUCCCGGGCCCAGCCGCUGGACCUGGAAAGGGGCAAGAGCAGCUGGCUAACAGCAUCCAGGAUGUUCACCAUGACCAGGGCCUUAGAAGAGGCUCUCCUCCAGCACUUCAUAUGUCAGAAGCUGCAGAUUUCUUAUGCCAUAGAUAAGGCAUUUCCCUUCUUCGAAGGCCUCCGAGACAGCUCCUUCAUCACCGAGAGAAUGUACAGGGAAUCUCUGGAAGCCCAUAGCAAUCAGGUUCCUGUAUCCAGACUGGUGUACAACAUUCUCACCAAAUUGGAGAAGACGUUUAAUCUGUCACUUCUGGAGAUGUUGUUCAGCCGAAUUAACCUGUGUGAAUACCCCAAACUGAAGACAAUUCUUGAGAGCUUCAAAAAUGUUGUCACUUCCUAUGGAGGAGGGAGCAGAACCACGCCCAUCCUCCUGGAAGUCCCAGCCAACCCAGCAGAAAGGAGCUCCCACAAGGCCCUGCUGCCGCUGCCCCCAACUCAACACCCUCCACCGAAAGGCCCACCCUGUGCGCCCAGAGUCAGUGAGCCUGGAGCAUCCACACAACACAGUGUUGAGAUUCCGGAUGAGCCACCCAGCCCUUCUGGCCCUGCUGUGGCUCGCCCAAAAGUCGCCCAAGAAGAAAGGAUCACUCCAGCAUCCAGUGACAACCUGAACCCCCAAAUAAAAGUCAAAGAAGACACUCAAGAAAUGCCCUGUGCUCCCUCAGGCCCAGUGCAAGUGAUACGAGAUGAUUCUCCUGAACCAAAUGAUGCAGAAGAGCCCCAGGAGGCAUCCAGCACACCUCCCACAAAGAAAGGAAAGAAAAGAAAAAGAAAUGUGUGGUCAAUUCCAAAGAAGAGAUAUCAGAAAAAAAGCCUCCCAAAAGGGACAGUCUCACCUGGGGAUGAAAUCCAAGAGAAGCUCCAAGUGGUGGAUCAGGCAACUCAAAAGAAGGACGACUCAACCAGGAACUCAAAGGUCACGACAAGGGUCCAAAAAGCCAGGACUGGAUGUGCCCAAACAUCUGGACCAGAGGAGGUCAGUGAUGACGCUUCAGAAGUGAAUGAAGGAAGGAGACCCCAGGAGCCACCUAGCACACCACCAGGAAUCAUGCACGAUCCCAUGGAUAAUGGAAGUAAACAGUCUUUGGGAAAAUCUCCCGGGAAAAAGCAAAAGAGGAGAAAAAAAUAUAACUGGUCAAGUUCAAAAAAAAGACAGAAGGAAAGACUCCCAAGAGGGACAUCCUCAGCUGUACACGAAAUCCAACAGAAGCUCCAAGUCAUGGAUCAGGCAACUCAAAGGAUGGAUGACUCAACCGGGAACUCAGAGGUCAUGACAAGGGUACAAAAAGCGAGGACUGGAUGUGCCCAGAUGUCUGCAUCAGAGGGUGAGGCUGAAAAGAUGAGAGAAAAAUGUAGCCAGUCAAGUCCACAAAAAGGGCUGUCAAGAGAACAACUUGAAGAUGAAACUGUGGAUUUUCACUCUUCUGAACUUCCUGUGACCUGUGGUGAGGCAAAAGGGAUCUUAUAUAAGGAGAAACUGGAACAAGGAGCCUCAGAGAAGUGCAUUCAGAAUGAGAAGGGAGUUUGGUUCACGCCAAAAGAAUUUGAAGCUGAAGGAAAACGGGCGCCUUCAAAGAACUGGAAGCGGAGUGUGCAUUGCGGAGGAAAGACUCUAGAACAGCUGCUGAAGAAAAGGCUUUUGCACUGUCCUUCAAGAAAAAGUCUCAAGAGAGAGCGGGAAAACUCCAAGGAAUGUGAGGUGUGCUGUAGAGGGGGACCACUGCUCUGCUGUGACACUUGUCUGAGAGCCUUUCAUGAGGACUGUCACAUCCCACCUGCAGAGGCUGAGAGGAGCCCGUGGAGUUGCACCUUCUGCAGGAUGAGGGAGUCUUCAGGAAGCCAGCAGUGUCACAGGGAAUCUGAGGUGCUGGCGAGAAGGAUGCGGCCUGAGGAGCAGUUGAAAUGUGAGUUCCUCCUCUUGAAGGCCUACUGUCAUCCACAAAGCUCCUUUUUUGCAGAGACUCCAUGUAAUAUUCGAGAUUAUGGUGAGCCCUUCAAGGAAGCCAUGUGGUUGGACCUGGUCAAGGAAAGGCUGACUGAGAAGAUAUACACAGUGGAAUGGUUUGUACGGGACAUGCGCCUGAUCUUUCGCAACCAUAAGACAUUUUACAAGGCUUCCAGCUUUGGUCAGGUAGGACUGGAUUUAGAGGCAGAAUUUGAAAAGGAUCUCAAAGAUGUGCUUAUUUUUCAUAAAUGAGAAUGGUUUCCAGAAUGGUUGACCCUGUUCUGGAAGGACGGAGGCACCUCAACUUCAGGAUCCAGAUGGUGUGACCCUGGCCAUCCAGUUGCCUGUGACUCCUCCAGGGAUAGAAAAGACGGAGGCUAGGAGGAGAGGUAAGCAGCGGGAGAGACCAUCCUUACCGAAGGCAGAUAUAGUAUGAUGUUUGUAACUUCUGGGUGGGGCAGAUUCCCAAUGAUGAUUCCUUCUCUUCCUCAGCACUUUGUGGGAUCCUCAAUCAAAGUGAUCCCCUCUGCGCCCUUGGGCAAUUCUUGUCUGUGGCCAGCUGCUUCUCACCUCAUCUUCAUCCUCCACAGCAAAUAGUAGCUUACAGCCUCUUGCUGCUGAGGGCCCUUCUCCUUUGGCACAAAGCCUUUUUGGACAGGUCUUUUCCAACAACUCCAAGGCCAGAUCCUUCCCACAAGUCCUCUCGGCUCACAAGAACACUCUGGCAUCCUUUCCCCAGCCCCACCAGCGGCAGAUGUGCAGUUUUCUCUCCAGUGCAUAUACCAUACAGUCAGCCUUCCAUAUCCAUGGGUUCCACAUCUGUGGAUUCAACCAACGUGGAUGGAAUGGCCUGCAGUGGUUGUGUCUGUACCGAACAUGUACAGACUGUUUUUCUUGUCACUAUUCCCUAAACAGUGUAACAACUAUUUACAUAGCAUUUACAUUGUAUUAGGUAUUAUAAGUAAUCUAGAGAUUAUUUGAAGUAUAUGGGAGGAUACGCACAGGUUAUAUGCAAAUACUACACCAUUUUAUAUAAGCGACUUGAGCAUCCUCAGAUUUGGUACCCAUGGGAUCCUGGAACCAAUCCCCAUGGAUACUGAGGGACGACCGUAGAGCUCUUUGCUUGGCCACCAGGCAGGCAAUUCUAACUGCAGACUUUGAUCUUUUCAGAGAAAAAAAUAAAAUGCUUGAGGUUCAUUAAUGUGGCUGAUUUUACAGUCUUCAACUUCUUCGAAACAAAGGUCUGCAUUCAUUCAACAUUUUCUUAGGAUGAGCAUUAGGAACUACUUUUCUGUUCUGCUUUUAGAGAUUUUGCUGAAGUUCAUUUCUAGUUAGCUGAUAUGUAUUUAUGUAGCAUAUAAGCCAGAAAUUGUCUCAUGUAGUGAUAAUAUGGUUGCAGUUACAGUAAAUAAAGUUUCCAUAAGAACUUGGGAAUUUUGAGAUAAUAAACAUUUUUUCCUUAACUAAUUUAUUUUCAUAGAGCUAUUUGUAAAGUAUGUCUUCUCUGAACAUUUCCCCCAAACCUCUACCCAUUCUGACUUUAAAUUCAUUAUCAUUGCACAUUUCUAUAGGGAAAAGGACAGUCUACAAGUUCUCUUAAUUAAUCACGGGUAACUUUAACGACCACUUCCGCUGUCCCCAUCCUUUCCCCAUCUUGCCCAAGCGUAAGGUUCUCUAGGGCUUGCAAAGAAUUUUUGCAUCAUGAGAAAGAUUAUUGCUGAUGCCAUUCAUGACAUAAGCUAUCAUUCUAAAUACCAACUUAACUUUCCAAUCCAAGAUCAGGAUAUCAAAACCAAAAUUCUCUUACAAAUGAGAAAUUCUCAAUAAUUUGCCCUUAGUAGGUCAUCUCUUCGGGAAAACACAAGAGACUGAUAACAAUUGUUGACUCUUAGAUGAGAACUGGGGACCUGGGGAAAUGGGGAGGAGAAAGACUUACUUUUCACUAAAUAUCAUUUUGAACCUUUUGAAUUUUAUACUAUAUAUUCUCAAUUCAAAAAACAUUUUAUUUUAAAAAUAAUAAUUUGCAUUUGAAAGUAAAAAACUACCAUUCUAACACUCAAUGUUACAAGUAAAAGUUACCUUUUGAAAUCAGAAAAUAGAGUUUUCAAAGUCUUAAGGACAAAUUGAAUUGUGUCUAUAAAAGAUCUAAGAUUUAUAAUUGAGUUGUUUGGUAAAUUUUUUGAGUUUUUCUUCUACUCUCUGCUCUCAGAUUGCUCAAGAUUGCAACAAAAACAAAGAGAAAGCUUGGUUUUUGUGGGAAGGGAGGUCAUGGAAAGGCAUGUCUUACUGACAAUUAAUCCAUUUCAUCAUUUGUCAAGUGCUUGCCAUCUGUCAUGCAAUGUGUUGGAUGCCAGGAGACACCCAGGGGCCUGCCUGGGAGGGAGACUUGCACAUUGGAAAAGAGAAGGUGGUGCUCUGAAUUCUCAGAGUUGGGGUUGGAGGAAGAGGGAAGGCUUAGACUCAACACCUAGAGAGGAGGCAAGAAGGACUUGAGCCAAAAUGGAGUCUAGACACGAUAUGGAAGCCACUAGAAUCUGAAAACAAGGGGAUGAGGUGGGGCCUAAGGAUGGGACAGUGUAUUCAAAGCAAUGGGUGAAAAAGAAGCUUUUUUCCACAAGCCAAGUGUCCACACCCGAAGCAAAGUAGAGAACUGAGGUCUGAAUUUCCCAGGCAAUUGGCCCAGCUCUUAACGGUGAUGAAAUGAUUACCUUGGGCCAAGUUAUGUGUAUAGAUGGUCCCUAACUCACAAUGGUUCAACUUAUGAUUUUUCAAUUUUGUGAUGGUGGGAAAGUGAUAUGCAUUCCAUAGAAAGCAUAUUUCAAAUUUUGGAUUUUGCUGCUUUCCCAGGACAGCAAAUGCAGUAUGACACUCUCUCAGGAUGCUGGACAGCAGCAGCGAGCCGCAGCUCCAGGUCAGCCUCACGAUCACGUGGGUAAAUGGCCGAUACACUUACAACCAUGCUGGACCCAUCCAACCAUGCUGUUCUUCACUUUCAGUAUAGUAUUCAACCAAUUCCAGGAGAUAUUCAACAUUUUAUUAUAAAACAGGCUUUGUGUUAGUUGAUUUUGCCCAAUUGGAGGCUAAUGUAAGUGUUCUGAGUGCAUUUAAGGUAGGCUAGGCUAAGCUGUGACGUUUGGCAGAUUAGGUGUAUUAAAUGCAUUUUUGACUUAUGAUAUUUUCAACUUAUGAUGGGUUUAUCAGGAUGUAACCCCAUCGUAAGCCAAGGAUGAUCUGUAUGGCAAAUGUCAAAGGAAAGGUCCUGAUCUCCUAAGGUUCUGUAAGGCCUUUCUAAGUCUCAGCUUUUCUCAUUUGUAGACCAGAAUAAUAAUAUCUAUGUUAUAAAAUCGUUGUGGGGAUUUCCAUAGUGUCAGGAGCAUAAUAGUUGCUCAAUACAUGGUAUCUAUUGCCUUUCUUGUUGUUGUUAUUAUUACCUGUAAAUAAAAGUAAAUAUCAUAAUGAUGGUUCCCAUAGAUUGGCUCAUUCAAGCCUCAUUUUACCCUCCUUUUGGAGUAACUUCCUGUAUUGCCAAGUCUAUGAAACUAGGAACUACAUUUUCCAGACUCCUUUGCUCUUAGGGUCUAGUUGCCAGUUAGGGUCUACCAGUUGGAGGCAAUCACAUGAGAUUUGGAAGAUGGAAGAAGGUGGAAGCCAUCUUCCUGUUGCUGUUUCUUUUGCAAACAACGUCACAAAGACAUGAAUGGCAUGAGGCAGCAGGGACUGUGGUGCAAGUAGCUGCUUGACCUUCAGAUCACAGCUGCAGUGGUUUGCCCUUGACAUCAAUCAGUCGGGGCCCCCAAUUUCAGCUUCUUCAGCCCUUCCAGUGACUUUGUAAGCAUCUAAUUCCUGUAUGAAAUUCUUUCUGUUUAAAAUAGCUAGGGUGAUGAUUCCUGUUUCUAGAACUAAAUCCUGACUGAUUCAGGAAUGGACAUUUCAUCUAAAGAAAUAUCAUAUGUAAACUUCUGUGAAAGAAUUUAUUUUGGGGCCCGCCCCAGUGGCCUAGUGGUUAAGUUGGGCAUGCUCUGCUUCAGUGGCCCAGGUUUAGUUCCUGGGUACGGACCUGCACCAUUCUAUUGGUAGCCAUGCAGUGCUGGUGGCCCAUAUACUAAAAAGCAGAGGACUGGCAUGGAUGUUAGCUCAGGAGAAUCUUCCUCAGCAAAAAAA